rnacentral:rRNA from 1 species
UACGGAGGGUGCGAGCGUUAUCCGGAUUCACUGGGUUUAAAGGGUGCGUAGGCGGGCAGGUAAGUCAGUGGUGAAAUCCUUGAGCUUAACUCGAGAACUGCCAUUGAUACUAUCUGUCUUGAAUAUUGUGGAGGUAAGCGGAAUAUGUCAUGUAGCGGUGAAAAUGCUUAGAUAUGACAUAGAACACCUAUUGCGAAGGCAGCUUACUACGCAUAUAUUGACGCUGAGGCACGAAAAGCGUGGGGGAUCAAACAGG